rnacentral:rRNA from 1 species
GAUGAACGCUGGCGGCGUGCCUAAUACAUGCAAGUCGAGCGAACGGACGAGAAGCUUGCUUCUCUGAUGUUAGCGGCGGACGGGUGAGUAACACGUGGAUAACUUACCUUUAAGACGGGGAUAACUUCGGGAAACCGUACUUAUUACCGGUUAUUAUUUGAACCGGCAGGGUUCAAAAGGGAAAGAGGUUCUGGCUUUCAUUAAUGGAUGAACCGCGCUGCAUUAGCUAGUUGGUAAGGUAACGGCUUACCAAGGCAACGAUGCAUAGCCGACCUGAGAGGGUGAUCGGCCACACUGGAACUGAGACACGGUCCAGACUCCUACGGGAGGCAGCAGUAGGGAAUCUUCCGCAAUGGGCGAAAGCCUGACGGAGCAACGCCGCGUGAGUGAUGAAGGUCUUCGGAUCGUAAAACUCUGUUAUUAGGGAAGAACAUAUGUGUAAGUAACUGUGCACAUCUUGACGGUACCUAAUCAGAAAGCCACGGCUAACUACGUG